AUAAGCUGUGGAUGGGAUAGCUUCAAAAAGGACUGCAAACAGCUGUUAUCAAACAAGGCUUGGCUUUUGGAAAAAGCUCAUGGCUUUAACUUUUUUCCCGGAACACAAAGUAUUGAGGUUUUGGCCAUAUUUAAACGAGGUUCUGGGUCGAAUGAUAAAAAAAAGGCAUCCAAAAAAAUAGAAGCCUAAGAAAUCAUCACAAGGAUAAUCAUAAUACUGUAUAUCUGCAUUUGGCUUUAGUUGUUGCGUCAAGGUCUUGGACUUACCCAAGAGUGAGCCGAUGUUGGACCUUGAUAAUGAAGGCAAGGGAGAAACCGCUGAAUAAAAAAGAGACGAAGCAUUGACUAAUGCCUCUAUGUUUGAAUUCGGGCGUGUAUGUUUAGCAACAUAGAAGCAGAGUAAAGCCAGAAAGGGAGGAAACUGUACAAGAAAUGUUGAAUGUGAGCAACUAUUG